AACGAACGCUGGCGGCAUGCCUAACACAUGCAAGUCGAACGAACCCUUCGGGUUAGUGGCGCACGGGUGCGUAACACGUGGGAAUCUGCCCUUUGCUUCGGAAUAACAGUUAGAAAUGACUGCUAAUACCGGAUGAUGUCGUAAGACCAAAGAUUUAUCGGCAAAGGAUGAGCCCGCGUAGGAUUAGGUAGUUGGUGGGGUAAAGGCCUACCAAGCCGACGAUCCUUAGCUGGUCUGAGAGGAUGAUCAGCCACACUGGGACUGAGACACGGCCCAGACUCCUACGGGAGGCAGCAGUGGGGAAUAUUGGACAAUGGGCGAAAGCCUGAUCCAGCAAUGCCGCGUGAGUGAUGAAGGUCUUCGGGUUGUAAAGCUCUUUUACCAGGGAUGAUAAUGACAGUACCUGGAGAAUAAGCUCCGGCUAACUCCGUGCCAGCAGCCGCGGU
rnacentral:rRNA from 1 species